rnacentral:lncRNA from 10 species
GAAUUUUUUUCUGAGAAGUGAUGGUGUAGGAAAAGGCACUGAAAAACUUAGCAGUCCUAGCAGGAGGACUGGAGAGGUUCUCUCUCUCUUUUUCUUUUAGUGGCUUUUCACUGUGUUGUACGUGGUGGAGAAUAAACUUUAGGGGAUGCGAUUAACAACAUGCCCAAAUGCUGAGGCAGUCAGCAUGUUUGAAUAAAUGGUUUGAACAUGGUUCUCUAGGCUGAAUUUCUGGCAGUGUAGAGGCUUGGAAGCAUCACGCAGGGGCAAGACUUCAGAGGGGAACCAGGCAAAAGAGAACUGAGUGGCCUGACCUGGCAGCCAUCUGAGAGGGGCACAGGAAAGUCUGCAAUCUACAACCUGGAAAAAGGUUUUCACCAGACCCAACCAUGCUGGCACUUGGAUCUCAGACUUCCAGACUCCAGGACUGUGAGAAAUAAAUUCCUGUUGUUUAAAAGCCACCCAGCUCAUGGUAUUGUGUUAUAGCAGCCUGAGCUAAGACAGAAUCAACCAUUUAUUCUCUAAAAUUUCAAUUUUAGAUGGCUGAUGUUGGAAGGGAAUAAAACUGAUGGGAAAGACAGGGACAUCAGCAUCAUCUGACAAAAUGAAGAAUGAAGAGAUACUGCUAUGAUUUGAAUGUGUCCUCCGAAAUUCAUGUGUUGGAAAGUUAAUCUCCAGUCCAACUGUGUUGGGAGGUAGAGCCUUCUGAAGGGUUUAUAUUAUGAGGGUGCAGUCCUUAUGAAUUGAUUCAUGCCACCAUUAAAAGGGCUUUCAGGAGUGGGUUGGCUCCUUCUGCUUUUCUGCCAUGUGAGGACUCAGCACUCCUCCUCUCCAGAGGUGUGGCGACAAGGUGCCAUCUUUGAACCAGAGUCCAAACCUGCUAGCGUCUUGAUAUUGAACUUCCCAGCUUCCAGAACCAUGAGAAAUAAAUUUCUGUUCCUUAUACAUUACCCAGUCUGUGGUAUUUUGUUAUAGUAGCACAAAAUGUAUUAAGAUGGAGACUGUCUCUAGUUGCUGGCAUUCAUCAAAGGUGUUAGUUGCAAGCAAUGGACGGUGACUUUGACUUACUAAGUAGAAAGACUACCAGAAUUAGACUGGAAAGCUAACAAUGAGAGUUUAGCUCUAGCAGAGCUAUGAAAAAACAAGUUCAAGGCUGAUUCUAAGAAAAUACCCAAAAGCAUGUUGCAGAACAGGUCUGAUGAUAAAAAGCCUUGGUGUUUUCCACUGACCACUAGAAGAAAUGACCUCUGCUGCCCAAGCAGUUACACUUUUGUGCCAAGAACUUGAUCUUACAACACUGGGAAACCACUACUCCUAUUGUUGCUACCACCAAAAGUCUCACACCCACUGCCAUCCACACACCUGUACAAAUGGAAUUUCCAGAAGAGCCUGUUUCUUUUCCCUCAUGUUCAUGUAUGAAUGAAACUUUGCAUAGAUUGCCAGAAACGAGGUCACAUGCUUCCGUUAUAGAUGAAAUGGAAAUGGGACUUGGAGUUUGACUCAAAUUGGAGAGGAAGGAGUCACAUUAGUUUUUCCCCAAAUAUGAUACUCAAUAAGUUACUUGGAGGCAAUGACAGAUGUCUACUACAUUGCAACAAUUCAUAAAAGUAUAUUAUUUAAAGUUACAAGAAUCAUUUAAAGAGAGACUAAAAUUAUUGCAAUAUCAUUUACUCCUUCCUCCUUCUGACAGCUUGAAUCCAAUUUAUCAGGAAAUUCUGUUGGCUUUAUUUUCAAAAUAUAUUCAGCAAAUGACUCCUCAAUGCUUCUACUGCUUUCACCUUCAACCAGCUACUGUAGUCUCUGCCCUAAAUUAUUGCAAUAACUUCCUAGCUGGUCUCUCUGCUUCAUGUUUUGUCCAUUUACAGAAUAUUCAAACUCAGCAGCCAGAGAGAUCUUUCAAGAUGUAAGAAAGAUCGUGUCAUGUCUACCCUCAAAACCAUGCAAAGAUUUCACAGGCAACUUAGAGUAGAAACCUAAAGCUUUCCAAGAGCUUGCCGUGACUUCAUGGUCUGCUGCUGUCUCCUCAUCUCACCACUGUAACCUCAUCUGCUCCUUCAUUGGCUGUUCUCACCACUGUGGCCUCUUAUUGGUCAUCAGAUAAGAGUGGCAAACUUUGUCCUUUAUGUUGGUUGGUUCCUCUGGGGAAGAGCACUCUUCUCCCAUAUAGUUGCAUGGCUACUCGCUCAUACCUGCAAGAACUCUAUUUAACACCAUUCACAUGGCCUUUAGUAUUCCCAAUCUCACAUGCUGUGCUUUAUCUUUUUUCUAUAGCAUGUAUCACCCCUCUAACAUACUAUAAUUUACUUAAUUAUGAUGUUUAUUUUCUGUCUCAAGAAUGGGAAUGAUUUUGUCUUUUUUAUUAGCUGGCAUAUCCAGG